rnacentral:rRNA from 1 species
CAGUAGCCGCGGUAAUGCGAAGGGUGCAAGCGUUAAUCGGAAUUACUGGGCGUAAAGCGUGCGUAGGCGGUUUGUUAAGUCUGUUGUGAAAUCCCCGGGCUCAACCUGGGAAUGGCAAUGGAUACUGGCAAGCUAGAGUGUGUCAGAGGAUGGUGGAAUUCCCGGUGUAGCGGUGAAAUGCGUAGAGAUCGGGAGGAACAUCAGUGGCGAAGGCGGCCAUCUGGGACAACACUGACGCUGAGGCACGAAAGCGUGGGGAGCAAACAGGAUUAGAUACCCCUGUAGUCCCUGUCUCUUAUAC